rnacentral:rRNA from 1 species
UACGUAGGGUGCAAGCGUUGUCCGGAAUUAUUGGGCGUAAAGAGCUCGUAGGUGGCCUGUCGCGUCGGCUGUGAAAACUCGGGGCUCAACUCCGAGCUUGCAGUCGAUACGGGCAGGCUAGAGUUCGGCAGGGGAGACUGGAAUUCCUGGUGUAGCGGUGAAAUGCGCAGAUAUCAGGAGGAACACCGGUGGCGAAGGCGGGUCUCUGGGCCGAUACUGACACUGAGGUGCGAAAGCGUGGGGAGCAAACAGG